GUGCUCACUUCGGCAGCAAAUAUACUAAAAUUGGAAUGAUAUAGAGAAGAUGAACAUGGUCCCUGCGCAAGGAUGACAUGCAAAUUUGCGAAGUGUUCUGUAUUUUU